UUGUUUGUGCUUUGAUAUUGAACGAAAACAAUGGACCCGUGUGGUGCGGCUGUCACAGAACAACAUGCACUGUUUGCGUUCAGUGGAUACUCUCCAAAAUGGCGCUAGGGUGACGCGGA